CGCGAAAAACCUUACCUACCCUUGACAUGUCUGGAACCUUGCUGAGAGGCGAGGGUGCCUUCGGGAGCCAGAACACAGGGUGCUGCAUGGCUGUCGUCAGCUCGUGUCGUGAGAUGUUGGGUUAAGUCCCGCAACGAGCGCAACCCUUGUCAUUAGUUGCCAUCAUUUAGUUGGGCACUCUAAUGAAACUGCCGGUGACAAACCGGAGGAAGGUGGGGAUGACGUCAAGUCCUCAUGGCCCUUAUGGGUAGGGCUUCACACGUCAUACAAUGGUCGGUACAGAGGGCUGCCAACCCGUAAGGGGGAGCCAAUCCUUUAAAACCGAUCGUAGUCCGGAUUGAGGUCUGCAACUCGACCUCAUGAAGUCGGAAUCGCUAGUAAUCGCGGAUCAUCAUGUCGCGGUGAAUACGUUCCCGGGUCUU
rnacentral:rRNA from 1 species